rnacentral:rRNA from 4 species
ACGACUCUCGGCAACGGAUAUCUCGGCUCUCGCAUCGAUGAAGAACGUAGCGAAAUGCGAUACCUGGUGUGAAUUGCAGAAUCCCGCGAACCAUCGAGUCUUUGAACGCAAGUUGCGCCCGAGGCCAUUCGGCCGAGGGCACGCCUGCCUGGGCGUCACGC